rnacentral:lncRNA from 1 species
CACUUAAAUAGAAAAGAUCCUCAAAACCUGGUCGUAAAUCUCCAAUUUCUGAUAAAUAGCUAUAAACAGGAAAAAAUUAGUAGUCUCUCCCUUGCAUAAUUAGAUACUUUCUUUCCGCUGCAUCCGAAAUUCUGCAUUUAACUCUCCCGUUCAACCAAUAAAGUCAUUUUUAUGAUAAACAGGGGCUAAUUAUUCAAUUUUAUUUCUAUUUUAUUUUCCAUGAUGAUAAGGACUUUUUACUAUUAUGUGUUUUUGAGGUUUUUCAUGACAAACACAAGACGCUAAUCGUCGUCAUGGUUUAGCAUAAAUCGUCGAAGUGUGUGGUAUAUUUGAAUGAUAAAUUACUCAGGGUUGUUGAAUUUUACAUCAUUUUAAAAAAAUC